rnacentral:rRNA from 1 species
GCGGGGGCGGGCGUGCUUACACAUGCAAGUCGAACGAUGAUCCGGUGCUUGCACCGGGGAUUAGUGGCGAACGGGUGAGUAACACGUGAGUAACCUGCCCUGGACUCUGGGAUAACCCCGAGAAAUCGGAGCUAAUACCGGAUAGGACCUUGAACCGCAUGGUUUGGGGUGGAAAGUUUUUCGGUCUGGGAUGGACUCGCGGCCUAUCAGCUUGUUGGUGAGGUAAUGGCUCACCAAGGCGUCGACGGGUAGCCGGCCUGAGAGGGUGACCGGCCACACUGGGACUGAGACACGGCCCAGACUCCUACGGGAGGCAGCAGUGGGGAAUAUUGCACAAUGGGCGCAAGCCUGAUGCAGCAACGCCGCGUGGGGGAUGACGGCCUUCGGGUUGUAAACCUCUUUUAGUAAGGAAGAAGGGGAGCUUGCUCCUUGACGGUACUUGCAGAAAAAGGACCGGCUAACUACGUGCCAGCAGCCGCGGUAAUACGUAGGGUCCGAGCGUUGUCCGGAAUUAUUGGGCGUAAAGAGCUCGUAGGCGGUUUGUCGCGUCUGCUGUGAAAUCCCGAGGCUCAACCUCGGGCCUGCAGUGGGUACGGGCAGACUUGAGUGCGGUAGGGGAGAAUGGAAUUCCUGGUGUAGCGGUGGAAUGCGCAGAUAUCAGGAGGAACACCGAUGGCGAAGGCAGUUCUCUGGGCCGUAACUGACGCUGAGGAGCGAAAGCGUGGGGAGCGAACAGGAUUAGAUACCCUGGUAGUCCACGCCGUAAACGUUGGGCGCUAGAUGUGGGGACCUUUCCACGGUUUCCGUGUCGUAGCUAACGCAUUAAGCGCCCCGCCUGGGGAGUACGGCCGCAAGGCUAAAACUCAAAGGAAUUGACGGGGGCCCGCACAAGCGGCGGAGCAUGCGGAUUAAUUCGAUGCAACGCGAAGAACCUUACCAAGGCUUGACAUGACCGAGAACGCCGCAGAAAUGUGGAACUCUUUGGACACUCGGUUACAGGUGGUGCAUGGUUGUCGUCAGCUCGUGUCGUGAGAUGUUGGGUUUAGGUCCCGCACGAGCGCAACCCUCGUUCGUAUGUUGCCAGCACGUAAUGGUGGGAACUCAUUAUGGAGACUGCCGGGUCAACUCCGAGGAAGUGGGA